AGGGCACCACCAGGAGUGGAGCCUGCGGCUUAAUUUGACUCAACACGGGAAAACUCACCCGGCCCGGACACCGUAAGGAUUGACAGACUGAGAGCUCUUUCUUAAUUCGGUGGGUGGUGGUGCAUGGCCGUUCUUAGUUGGUGGAGCGAUUUGUCUGGUUAAUUCCGAUAACGAACGAGACUCUGGCCUAUUAAAUAGACGGUAUAUCUAGAAAAAGUAUACCGCGCUUCUUAGAGGGACAACCGGCGUCUAGCCGCGUGAAAUAGAGCAAUAACAGGUCUGUGAUGCCCUUAGAUGUCCGGGGCUGCACGCGCGCUACACCGAAAGAAUCAGUAUGCGCCGUCGCCUAGUUCGGAAGAACCGGGUAACCCGAGCAAAUUCUUUCGUGCUUGGGAUAGGGGAUUGCAAUUAUUUCCCAUAAACGAGGAAUUCCCAGUAAACGCGGGUCAUAAGCUCGCGUUGAUUACGUCCCUGCCCUUUGUACACACCGCCCGUCGCUACUACCGAUUGGAUGACUUA
rnacentral:rRNA from 1 species